UACGUAGGGUGCGAGCGUUAAUCGGAAUUACUGGGCGUAAAGCGUGCGCAGGCGGUUCUGCAAGUCAGAUGUGAAAUCCCCGGGCUUAACCUGGGAACUGCGUUUGAAACUACGGAGCUAGAGUGCGGCAGAGGGGGGGUGGAAUUCCACGUGUAGCAGUGAAAUGCGUAGAUAUGUGGAGGAACACCGAUGGCGAAGGCAGCCCCCCUGGGCCGACACUGACGCUCAGGCACGAAAGCGUGGGGAGCAAACAGG
rnacentral:rRNA from 1 species